rnacentral:misc_RNA from 1 species
UUUCCGUAGGUGAACCUGCGGAAGGAUCAUUACUGAGUCGUCGACACGAGUUGUUGCUGGUCCUCGGAAGGGGUCACGUGCACGCUCUGUUUACACAUCCACUCACACCUGUGCACCCUCUGUAGUUCUAUGGUCUGGGGGGCCCUGCCUCCCUUCCGUGGUUCUGCAUCUUUACUCACACACUGUAAUAAAGUCUUAUGGAAUGCGCACCGCGUUUAACGCAAUACAAUACAACUUUCAGCAACGGAUCUCUUGGCUCUC